rnacentral:lncRNA from 1 species
CCUAGAAAGUAAUCCCUGCUGCCCUUUCGCUGGCCCAGGAAGGGGUAAAUCACAGAUCAGUGUCAGAGGUGCGAUGAAAACCCAGGAGUUCUGAUUCCUGGGUCACCAUGCUCCCUUUGCCAAGGGUGGAGCCGACACCAACAGACUCUUAGCUCCUGUGCCCUGUGCAUCCUGGUGUUCGUGCACGUGCUGCACGGAAGAGCUGCAUCCUGGGACAAUUUUAUGGCUGAUGAGAACAUAUCCUGAUCCACUCCACAUUUCAGUGUAACCUUGCAGUAUACCUGUAACACUGGAGGCACACAUCUCUUCCCUAGCAGCCCUUAAGAACCUGAAUGGUAGAGAGAGGGAGGAUCACAAAAGUUUGCUUCCAGCUCUAUACUCACCCACAGCCUGCAGACAGAUCAUCAGAAAAUUCAACUUUCAAGUGAGGAUCAUAAGCCAGAGAGUGCAGGACUCCACACCAGGGCAGAUGACCUGUGGAUUCCAGAAGCUCUCAGGAAUUUUGCAGAUUUCUCAAGGGCAACCCUGUCCAUAGAACGGGGAAAAGAACAAGCCCAUGCCUCCAAAGAGAAACUUCACAGUUCGCCUAAGUUUAACCUCUAGUGAUUCAUUCUCUUGUGUGUGGGGGCCUUCUGAUCUCUGGGAGCUCCCUCAAAGGCAAACUCCCAUGCAGAGGGCAUUUCUGAGGACUGAAAUCCAGGUGAUAAUAGUAACUACUGCUUUUUUAGCAUUUAGUGCUAACUUUGGCAUUUGGGCAACCAUCAAACACUCUCUUCCAUCAUCUCGCCCCUCCACCCACAGCCCUGUGUUAUCAAUCCCCUUUCCCAGCCAACCUGGGGACAAGUUGACUUGUCAUCACCAUCUGUACCUCCCCACUUUACACUCUCUCCACAGUCCACUCCACUAGGGCAUUGGCUGCACAUGUCACCAAAACCACUCUUGUCAGUGUCACCAAAAACUCCCAUGUUGCAAGAUACAAAGGCCAUUUUUCGGUCUCUUGUACUGAGCCUCUCCUAGAAGCAUAAGGUCCCUGGGCUUCCUUGGCACCUCCUCCGCCAGCAUCUUCUCCUCUUUUUGGCUGCUCCUGCCAUAGUUCACCCACUGCCCUCUCCUUCUACCACUCUGUCGAGUACUGGUGCACCCCAGGGCUCAGUCCUAAGCCCCAUUCUUCCCUCUAUCCAUGUGUGCUCCUGCAGUCCCAUGGUUUACACACCAUGCAUUUACCAAUGCCUUUAUAUAGUUCUCCCACCCAAACCUCUCCCUGAGCUCCAGCCAGAAUCACAUAUACAACUGCCUACCUGACCUCCCCACUCAGAUAUAUUACAGAUCACUCGGCUAGUAGCUGGCUAAGGCAGGACAUAAACUCAACUUCAGGUAGAUCUGAUCUCAAGGCCUGCAUUCUUAAUGACUCCUGGACUAGAAUCCAAGGAGACAGCUAUAAACUCUCUGAGAGAAGAGGCAUCUCCACUCCAAAGAUCUACCCAAUGGCCUAGGACAGACUUAUUCCAUCACUUCUCAUGCUGUGAGAAAUCUGUCAUUGUGGGAUUUCCCCACUUAAGUAUAACUAGGUGGUUACCUUUCCUGCAAUUUUCAAACAGGGCAGAUAUGUUAGGGGUAACAUGGACCCACAAACACCUGGUAUGUCUGUGUCUUCCCAGAGUGUAAACUCUGCUCAAACAUGGACACAGAAAGGCAGACAGCAGGAGAAAUCAUUUUCCUACAAAGAGAAAACAGAUGUGUCUUGGAAGAGAAAAUGAGAUACAACUUUUUGUAAUUUAAAAAACAAGACUUCAAACUUCAGGUGGACACCUUAGCCUUCUGCCACAGAUUCAAAGGAUAUAAAGUAGAACUACAAAGAGCUUAAGUCCUGACUCCUAGAAGCUUGUUUCUAAUAUCUGCCUCCAUUAGCCUUCGUCUUAAACCAGGAAGGUGGUAUGAACACUCAACAAACCGUCAGUGUACUUUGGAAGAGGUGGGAUAAAAGUGGACAUUUUUGCCUUGCCUCUGAUGUCUUUAGCGAAGCCAAAUAAAUCUGGAAAGAAAAAUUAAAUAUUUCCCUGAAACCUCACAGGAGAAAAAAAGAGAAAGGCUUUCAGAAGUCCCCAGAGAAACAAGAAAUGACUAUUUCCAAAACAAAGUUUGAUUUGAAAUUAUAAGAAGCUAGAGGUAGUUUUGAAAACCAGUGAACACUCAUGAACUUAAUCAGGCUUAGCAAAGCAGAGACAGAAAUGCAGAUUGGAAGUUGCCCCUGGAUAGCUUGGCCAGCAGAAUAAAACCCAGAGGCAGAAUCAAUUUUUUUUCUUUCAGAUUAAAGCCGCAGCAUCUCUCAGUUGAAGGCAGAGGUAUAAAGUCAAAGACUCCAGAAGUUCUUGGAAAAUGAUAAGUCAAUCUCUUGACAAAUGAUCCAGGGGCAACUUCGAAUUCCUGUUUCUAUCUCUACCUCUCUGAUUACUUUAACAAGCACUUUCUGAUUGGACCUUGGUAAUUCCAGCAAGCCAAGACUUUCCAUGGGACUUCACCUUACCCUCUUAGAUUACUGGCAACCUCGCAUCCCCUGAAUUCCUGUUCAGGGAGAAGAGCAAGUCCUUCCUUCAGGGACUGGAGAAUGACAACCUUCACAGAACCCAGAGCUAGAGACUGAGGACUCAGAAUGUAGACUGGGAAUAAGAGAACUACAGCCAGGGGCCAAAUCCCUCCAGCCACAACAACAACAAAAAAAAAAAAAAAAAAA